rnacentral:rRNA from 1 species
GACGAACGCUGGCGGCGUGCCUAAUACAUGCAAGUUGAGCGCUGAAGGUUGGUACUUGUACCAACUGGAUGAGCAGCGAACGGGUGAGUAACGCGUGGGGAAUCUGCCUUUGAGCGGGGGACAACAUUUGGAAACGAAUGCUAAUACCGCAUAAAAACUUUAAACACAAGUUUUAAGUUUGAAAGAUGCAAUUGCAUCACUCAAAGAUGAUCCCGCGUUGUAUUAGCUAGUUGGUGAGGUAAAGGCUCACCAAGGCGAUGAUACAUAGCCGACCUGAGAGGGUGAUCGGCCGCAUUGGGACUGAGACACGGCCCAAACUCCUACGGGAGGCAGCAGUAGGGAAUCUUAGGCAAUGGACGAAAGUCUGACCGAGCAACGCGGCGUGAGUGAAGAAGGUUUUCGGAUCGUAAAACUCUGUUGGUAGAGAAGAACGUUGGUGAGAGUGGAAAGCUCAUCAAGUGACGGUAACUACCCAGAAAGGGACGGCUAACUACGUG